rnacentral:misc_RNA from 1 species
UUUUUAAUAAGUUAAAUAAUAAUUAAUUUUUCUGUAAAAAAAAAAAGUUAAUCAUUUUAAUUUCUCGUCCCCCAUCUAUUUUGCCAUCUGCACAUGGAAAAUCCCACGCCGCCCGAGGCAUAAGCCAUGAAAUGUAGAUUCCCCACCCAAGGUAGAAAAAGAACAUCUCUCCUUCAUCCACGAACGAAUAAAAGGAAUUGCAAACCAUACGAUUGCAAUUACAUUUCUGCUUCCUUCCCUUUAAAUAAACACCAACGUCUACAUUACAACGGCUAUGUCAACUUUACCUCCUAUGCAUCACAUUUCGGAGCUAUACCUCGUAAAAUAUUCUCAUCGUUAAGGGUAAAACCGUCAAAAAGUUAAAUAAUUCAUCCCAUCAACCGCUAGCAUUUAUUUGGCUGGAACCCAACACGGGAAUUGGCGAUAUCAAAACUGACACGUGUCCCCUGCUGCUGUACAUUCCCAAUAAUUGACAGCACCGAAGUCGUUGGAGCAAAGGCAAAACAAAAUGUUCCCUCCGAAUCAACCGGUAUCAGGUAAUUCUUCGCUGGUAACGGUACCUCCUUUCCUUCCGGGAAGUGAAACGACACCGUUGGAACCUCCACGCGAGUCUUUGAGGACAAAUCAUAACACGUGUCAAACAACGCGACGCCGUUGGUCGACGGCAAGUUCUUCGUGCCAUUCACAAAUGCUUCACGCAGAGAGUUGUAGGUGUCCGUUUGCAGCCGAGUUAUGGCAGUGCCUGAGUCAAUAAUUAUCCCUCCGUUUCCCGACUCGUCCAUUUUGAAUGCUGACUCGGGAACAGAGAGCAACUCGCCACCUACACUCAGUCCUGUUAUCCCGAGGUAAUAAAAUGUUUCGAGCUCGUGGUUACGGAUUAAUGGAGCAGUAACAGCAUUAGGAAGGAGAGUUGAAUUAAACUCGAGAGUUGAAGCAGAGUCGGAGUCGCGAUCCGUUAGACAAUAAGAGAAACUCGUAGCAUUUAUCUGAGAUGGAAAAGAGAGUGAGCCGCCACCGAGUCCAAGUAAGCCUGCGGCUCCAACAAACAAACCCUCAUUAUUAUGUCCGCAGCCAAUGGCCACAUUUUCAACCGAAGCCGAGCCAAGAGUGAUGGUUUCGGUGACAAAAUCGCCGACGGUGUAUGAGCCAUCUCCGUAGGACACUUCGUAGAGACACGUGCCAUUUCGACACUCAGAUAUGUCGAGGGACUUGCAUUGUUUGGUCUCGCAAGUAAGAUGCGAGUACGAAAUAGACGAACCGGGCUCAAAAAUGGGAUCGGCUUGCCGGUAGCAGCCGGCACAGGGUGCGCAUUGAACCCAGCUAACGUCACUGCCGGUAUCGAGCACCAUAUAAACGGAACUCGGAGGUUUCCCAAUUCCAAGUCGGGAGAAAUACUCACCGCUUCCUUGACUAAUACCGGAGAUAACGGGACUUUGAAGAUCCUCAGCUUUGAACUCCAUAUUACCAUCAAGGGGUUUAAGAUCUGACGUGGAAAUGCCAUGAAUGACCAGAUCUAAACGAGCAGUGAGAGAUCUAACUCUGGCUGAGUCGCGCUCGAGUCGAGCUAAGGUAAGGGACUUGUAGUCAGUAUGUGAAGCCUUUUGAAUGGAAGUUCUAGAAUGUAGCUCCAUUGAUAUCCAAGACGAGGAAGAGGAAACGCUCUCUUGCUGGUUAAACGGCGGUGUCGUUUUAGGAAGAGAAGAGAAAACGUCUUUGGUCCUUUGAAUGGACGCUUUGACAUCGAGAAGUGAAGUUGUAAAGGCGUGUGGUAAGGUUCGAGAACAGGCGAAGGGAGAAGUUAGAAGUAGGGCGAAGAGAGCGCAAAAGACAAUCCCCAUUUUGGCCAGUGCAGAGAAAGGGAAAGGUGGACUGGUGGUGGUAGGAUAGAAACGGUUGGAGUUGGAGACUUGGAGUGGUUUUGGUUUUUAUACGAAGCGACUCACGCUGGGCUCGUUGCGAAAAAAAAAGAAAGGGAAGCUUGAAGUGAGCAUAAGAAAGAGAGUUGGUUGACCUCAAAAGAUAAUCUAGGGUUAGAUAUUAGUGUUCCUUGGGCUAGUUCAUUUUAGAGAGCGUU